rnacentral:rRNA from 1 species
GAUGAACGCUGGCGGCGUGCCUAAUACAUGCAAGUCGAGCGAACAGACGAGGAGCUUGCUCCUCUGACGUUAGCGGCGGACGGGUGAGUAACACGUGGAUAACCUACCUAUAAGACUGGGAUAACUUCGGGAAACCGGAGCUAAUACCGGAUAAUAUAUUGAACCGCAUGGUUCAAUAGUGAAAGACGGUUUUGCUGUCACUUAUAGAUGGAUCCGCGCCGCAUUAGCUAGUUGGUAAGGUAACGGCUUACCAAGGCAACGAUGCGUAGCCGACCUGAGAGGGUGAUCGGCCACACUGGAACUGAGACACGGUCCAGACUCCUACGGGAGGCAGCAGUAGGGAAUCUUCCGCAAGGGGCGAAAGCCUGACGGAGCAGCGCCGCGUGAGUGAUGAAGGUCUUCGGAUCGUAAAACUCUGUUAUUAGGGAAGAACAAAUGUGUAAGUAACUAUGCACGUCUUGACGGUACCUAAUCAGAAAGCCACGGCUAACUACGUG